UGCUGGUGGGCAGAGUCCAUGGAGGGGAUGCCUGCUCUGUGUUGCGGGGGAAGUGAGGAAGCAAUCUCCUCAUCCGUGGAACUCUCCUGCACUGUUUCAUAGCCAUCGAGGAUCAAAAAGUUUCCUAUUGAAUAGACAGAACAGUCUGAUGAGAUCAGUACUGCCACCAUCACAAAAAGAGAUGACAAGAGAUACGCCUGAUUUACAUAAUUUAAGAUCUGACGACAGUGAUCAGCAGCUUUCUUCACCUUCUCCCUUUCUAUCGGCCAUUCUAAAUAAGGGAAAGAAAUCAAAAAUGGAAAAUGGAAAAUGGAAAAAAAUCAGAGAUGAUCUUAUUUCAUUUUAACAGUUGCAAUGGAUGAAUUCAAGCCUGAAAUUUUUCAUGUAUGCUGAUGAAACCUAAGAUCACCCAAGAAAAAAUAAAAGGCAUCAAUCUGAUUGACAGAAUGAAAAGGAAAGGAAUGACCCGACCUAAAGAUGCUCCAGGUGAAUGAGGGGAUGCCAUGAUGGGAGACAUAUGUCCAGAGACUGAUGGUUCUACUUCAGAAUCAGCAAGAGGAAUCUGCGGUGAUCCAGACUGUACGAAAACUGGAUUGUCUCCACUGACCGUCAGCCCAAAUCCAUUGUCAUCCUUCUGGAUGAUUACACAACGCUGAACAAGACCUGCACAAGAGCCAAAAGGUACAUCCCUUUCACUGAAGCUAUUUUUCUACCAUUUUGCUACAUUUCAUACACCACAGAGAAAACAAAGACUACUACAGAUUACCUGGAUCACCGGACAAAUCAGCAGACAGUGAAAGCUCAAAAGGCUUGUUUCCAGGAAACAGAGAAUGAAAUCCUCACCCAAACACCACUCCCUUAACAAUCCUAGGCUUUCCCUUUAUACAUACACUCGACAUCCUUGGAAAGGCAUUUUGUCGGAUGAUUUCACUGACCACAAGAGGGAUGAUAUGAAGAAACCCCACCUCUUCUCCACCCCCAAUCAUCUACCAUCACCAACUGAAGCCCAACGCUGCUAAUGGGAAGGCAAAGGACAGCAACCAUGUAUACUGCUCUAGGAAAACUCCAUAAAUGACAAAGAAAGCAAAGAUGUAGCUGACAGUUUUUUAAGGGCGCAGGCCAACCAACUCCCAUGAAAUUAAGAAUGCUUGUUAAAGAUCCAAUUAUAGAGCCACAAAAACAUAAUUUUCUCCAGAAAUUCCUGAAUAAAGAAUGAAUUUUAGAAAAACAUCAGU